CAUGCCAGUUUAACUGGGGGUUAAAAAAUCCUCACUUUCACAGCCUCUUGCUAUGUAGUUGUCCCUGGUUACUGUUCUGCCUCUGUCUCCACAGAGACCACUCUGGGCCAGUAACCAUGGCGAUAGGAGAAGACGUGAGCAGAUGGGAGCACUAUGUGCAGAACUUAAACAUCCUUGUGUUGGGGGGAGGAUGACAGCCCCCUCCGAGCAUGGUCCCUCAAGAGCAGACCGACGUCUUCACAGCACAGAGGUGCAGUCCUCUUCUGCUACCAGGCCUGGCUGGGGAAAAUUCAGCUGGACGCCUGGCACCAUGCAAACCACAGGCUCUUCUUAUGCAAGCUCAGAGCCUCUGAGUCACCUGUCCUCUCUCAAAUGUCUCUGCUAUUUCGUGGUUCUCUUACCAGAAUAAGACACCUUCUCAACACCUCACUGCUUCCUCUCCUACUGAACAAUGACUCUCUCCCCUCUGUAUUUGCUGACCUGUGGGAAACAAUUUCCCAGACCCAUUGGAUUCUUUAUGGAAUAUUCUAUCUCCUGAAGUGGUCAAGCCUGAUUAUCCCUGAAGACACAACUUCCAGCUGCUUCUUUUGUGGCAUCUGCUGACUCUCCCUGAACCCACCUGUGUCAGAUUAGGGGUGGGUUGCAUCUGUGGUAGAUGCUGGUGGUGUCUUCCUUAGAUCCGUUUUCCGCACUGGGUGACAAUCCCAAAGUGCUGUAAGUGUGGGCCACCAACUACUCACAGCUGGCCCUUUUUCUCCAGAACUUCCCUUGACCACACGGGGCCAGCUUGUGGCAGUGACUGACAGAGGGCUGACGUGGGGCUGCAAAAGGCUUGUCCCUGCCUCAGAGCCAACUGUGCCCAUUUCAUAGCACAAUUUGGGCUCCGGAACUGAAGUUUGGGUCCAGGCAAAGCCCCAUCCUGCUUGAUUCACUACCCUGAGAGCACUCCCUCAAUAAUCACUUUCCUAGGAGUCCUGGUCUCAGGCUGUGCUUCUAGGGAAACCAACUAAG
ensembl:lincRNA